UGGGGAAUAUUGCACAAUGGGCGGAAGCCUGAUGCAGCGACGCCGCGUGGGGGAUGAAGGCCUUCGGGUUGUAAACUCCUUUCGACAGGGACGAAGCUUUUGUGACGAUACCUGUAUAAGAAGCACCGGCUAACUACGUGCCAGCAGCCGCGGUAAUACGUAGGGUGCGAGCGUUGUCCGGAAUUACUGGGCGUAAAGAGCUCGUAGGUGGUUUGUCGCGUCGUCUGUGAAAUUCCGGGGCUUAACUCCGGGCGUGCAGGCGAUACGGGCUGACUUGAGUGCUGUAGGGGAGACUGGAAUUCCUGGUGUAGCGGUGAAAUGCGCAGAUAUCAGGAGGAACACCGAUGGCGAAGGCAGGUCUCUGGGCAGUAACUGACGCUGAGGAGCGAAAGCAUGGGUAGCGAACAGGAUUAGAUACCCUGGUAGUCCAUGCCGUAAACGGUGGGCGCUAGGUGUAGGGGGCUUCCACGUCUUCUGUGCCGUAGCUAACGCAUUAAGCGCCCCGCCUGGGGAGUACGGCCGCAAGGCU
rnacentral:rRNA from 1 species